UAAAUAGCCGUGGUAUUUUGACCAUGCUAAGGUAGCAUAAUCAUUUGGUUUUUAAUUGAGAUCUGGGAUGAAAGGUUGAACGAGAGCUAUGCUUUAUGUGUAUAGCAAUUAAUAGAAAUUUACUUUUAGGUGAAGAGGCCUAGAUAUAAGAGAAGGACAAGAAGACCCUAUCGAGCUUUUUUAUACAGAUAUAUAUAUAUAAUUAUUAGUAGAGAUUUGGUUGGGGCAACCUUGGAAUUAACUUCCUAUACGCAGUGGUUUAUAAAAGAUGAGAGAGAAUUUUUACAUACAGAGUAAGUUACCGUAGGGAUAACAGCGUUAUUUUUUUUGAGAGUUCCUAUCGAAAGAAAAGUUUGCGACCUCGAUGUUGGAUUAAGGGUUCCUUAGGGAGUAGAAAUUUUAGAAGGUUGGUCUGUUCGACCAUUAAAUCUUUAC
rnacentral:rRNA from 1 species